AUGGGGGAAAACCCCAUACUCCUCACACACUAAAUCGCCCGAUUAAUCGGGCUUU
rfam:Marine metagenome 1684036, whole genome shotgun sequence.